rnacentral:rRNA from 1 species
UACGUAGGGUGCGAGCGUUAAUCGGAAUUACUGGGCGUAAAGCGUGCGCAGGCGGUUCGUGGUGUCUGAUGUGAAAGCCCCGGGCUCAACCUGGGAAUUGCAUUGGAAACUAGCGGGCUGGAGUGUGGCAGAGGGGGGUGGAAUUCCACGUGUAGCAGUGAAAUGCGUAGAGAUGUGGAGGAACACCGAUGGCGAAGGCAGCCCCCUGGGCUAACACUGACGCUCAUGCACGAAAGCGUGGGGAGCAAACAGG